UACGUAGGGGCCUAGCGUUGUCCGGAUUUACUGGGCGUAAAGAGCGCGCAGGCGGUCGUUCAAGUCGAGUGUGAAAGCCCCCCGGCUCAACUGGGGAGGGUCAUUCGAUACUGUUCGACUCGAAGGCAGGAGAGGGAAGUGGAAUUCCGGGUGUAGUGGUGAAAUGCGUAGAUAUCCGGAGGAACACCAGUGGCGAAGCGGACUUUCUGGCCUGUUCUUGACGCUGAGGCGGCGAAAGCUAGGGGAGCAAACGGG
rnacentral:rRNA from 1 species